UGGGAUCUGACCCAGUAGGAGUGAC
rnacentral:piRNA from 1 species